rnacentral:rRNA from 1 species
UAUAAAGUGGCGAACGGCUGAGUAACACGUGGGCAACCUGCCCUUUGCACUGGGAUAGCCUCGGGAAACCGAGGUUAAUACCGGAUACUCCAUAUUUGUCGCAUGGCGAAUAUGGGAAAGCUCCGGCGGCAAAGGAUGGGCCCGCGGCCUGUUAGCUAGUUGGUGGGGUAGUGGCCUACCAAGGCAAUGAUGGGUAGCCGGGUUGAGAGACCGACCGGCCAGAUUGGGACUGAGACACGGCCCAGACUCCUACGGGAGGCAGCAGUA